rnacentral:lncRNA from 1 species
CCUAAAUCCCCUCCCGCUCUCCGUCCCUCCGAUUGAAUCUUCCCUCGAUUUCAGCGAUUCCUCUCUUCUUCGUCUCUGCCCCCUCCCUCUCCAAUACAAAAACACCAAUUCCAGCACCCAACCGUAGUUUUCAAUUACAUACUCAAAACUCCAAUUCAGCCCACCAAAUUCUCACGAUACCCUUCAACUCACCUCAAGUCGAGCAUCAAACUAUAUGGGUCUCCAAGAAAUUUGUUCGGUCCUUUUUGUUCAAAUUCAACCCCUUCAAUUUAUGUUAGCGAAGAUUUCGAUGUCUAAUUGGGACGCAUGUUAUCUUUGUUACCAGAAGAGAUGCGGCGUAAAAUUAGCGAGCAUCUGGAGCGCCAUCAAUUGAUUGAAGUGGUUAUGGAUUUGGGGUGUGAGUUUUUAAAGUAUGCUAACAGUGGAACAAAACCAUUUACCCAUGAUUUCACUUUGGUUCGCAACCGGAAUUAAUUCGUUGCUGAAUCAAUUUCAAACCUUAUCAUGUCGGAUUCAGGUAAUUCAUCUUCUAUUAAUCUGUUUCAAUUUGUCUGUUUAAUUUGUAUGCAUCUAUAAUCAAAACCUGAAAAUCUUCCAGAGAGAAAUUGAUUAAAUUGUACCCCGAGUACGUCCUUUUUCCAGACAGAAAAUUUGAGAAACGUUAUAAUUACGAGUUACUGUUGCAUUUUUUUAAUUUCAAAGAAAUUAUAUGAGUUUUGCUAUUUGAAUGCUUGGUAUGAUAGUUAAGGGUGAACGGGAAGGGGAAGGGGGCCACAAUUACUUUUAUAAUUUGGCUAUAUGUGGAAUAUUUGGAUCCACAUAAGUGUUUGUCAAUUUGAACUAUAAACACACCUUUUUGUUCUAUGAUACAAUUGCUAUAAUUUUUUCUGGGUGGGUAGGAAAUAGGGAUUUCACAAUUAUCAUUAAUAACUAUCUGUCAUGAUUUGUAUAUAUGUGUGUAUAGUAUCUUUUGAAAUUUUAAUCUUUAACAUCACUGUGAAGUUUCAACUCUAAUUAAGAACUUUUCAAGUAAGGUUAUUGAUAGACUCCACGGCACGCUUGCGUGAGAUGGUCAUCGUCCGGAUCGUUUCUAGCACAGUUGUUGGGUGAAUUGUUUGCAACACCUUAACCCCUCGUCUAUAUGUAGACGUUAAUCUUGGUACAAUUGGUCGCGUUCGGAAAUUUGCGUUAAAUGGAUACCAACGACACCCUGACUCCUCGCUUAUAUUGAAGCGAUAAUCUUGGUACAAUCGACGAUUGAUGCGGUAGAAGACGCCACAUACAACUAUGAAUUGUUGUAUGACAAGUCAAAUUGAAUCUCAAAGAAAUAACUAAGAAAAAUAUUUAGGAAUUCUUCAAAGAACCAAAAGUAGAGAAUAACCUCACAAAUAUAUUGAAUAAUGAAUAAUGUGUUUGAUUACAUCAACUUGGACAUCUAUUUAUACUACUCAAAAUAAUCCAAAUCCUAAUAACAAUUGAAAACAAAUUAUUCUAAUCCUAAUAAGAAUUACAAACCAUAAUCCUAAUUUUUACAAGGAAGUAGAAAUCAAUUUGGAAAAGAAAUUCCUAUUUCUAUAAAACAAUAGAAACCUUAUUUAGAAAGUAAAUCUAAACUGAAAAGAAAUCCUAAUUAUAAUAGAAUUGAUAAGUAUCUGAAAAACAAAUCCCUAAAAAUUAGGCUAAUAGAAUCUGCCUAAUAUUUUAGGAAACAAAAUCUUUUUCCUAAAAUCCCAAAAUCCUUGCCACGUUAGGAUCUUUUACCACGUGAAACUUGUUUCUUUCCUUUGCAUGUAAUCUGAUUAUGUAAAGUUAUAAAGGCCCACAUAAUACUGGCUUUAAUUUCCAAGCUUGAUGGUUAUAAAGCAUAUGAUAAUAUGUUGCCCACAUGUGAAUAACUUGUUGAUCAAGAUUGUAUCAGUUAUUUAUUCAAGUCAAUGGCUUAAAGCACUUAACAUAGAUGCAUGUCGUUGUGUGACUGAUGUGGAGAUUGACGCUCCAAAUUUAUGAACUUUUAAAUAUUUUGGAAUGCUUCUCUCAUAUUUUGCACACUUCACCUGUAUGUAUAGCUGAACUAGACAUACAUGGAGGCUAUUAUUUCUCCUUUUUUAAGUGGAGCAAAUUUCUCUCUAAUUCAGUUCGGUUCGGGAGGUUGAUCUUGAGAAUGACUGCAUUUUGAGGUAUGUGUAUCAACAAACUUUUUUAUUUAUUAUCAUUGUUUUUUUUUGUCAUUGAAAUUGCUGUUUUUUUUUCAAACAUUAACAAAUGUAGGUUAUAGAUGAUUGUUUUGAGGGAGAAGGGAUAUUAGGAGAAACAUUAGUGCCUGGACAAUAGGUAUUUAGAUGCAAUAUUUUAAUUGGGAGUAUAUAUUUGCUUCUAACCCAAUUUUUAUACUUCUUGCCAUAAUUUAAUUAUGUUAGAGGCAACUUUAGUAUAGUUACUAUUAGUUGAACAACAAAUUAACUUUAGGUAAAACUAAUGAAAUACUCAUUGUAGUUGACAGGUUUUACUGAUUACACCAUUGAACUUUUUAAUUUUUCAAAUUAUCCCACUAAACUAAUUAUUAUUUUGAAAUUGAGUCAUUCCGUUAAAAAAAUAAAUGGACGUUAAUUUUUUAUCUAUAAAACUAAUAAAUUACCUACUGUAGUUGGCACAUUUUACAAAUUACACCAUUGAACUUUUAAUUUUUCAAAUUACCCCAUUAAACUAAUUAAAAAUUGAUUAAUUUAAAUAUUUUUAAAAAUAAUUAUUAUUUUCAGUAAAAAAUAUUAGAAACUUUUUUUCUUCAUAAAAUGAGUAAAGUUUCAUAAAAUAUAGAUUCAAAAAAAUUUAAGUGAUUUUAAAUUAAAUUAAUGUCUACUUAAUUUUUUUAACAGAAUGACCCAUUCUUAAUAUUAGAAAUUUGAAAAACAAAAACUAAAAGUAGAAAUUAAAAUAAAAAAAGUAAAAGAUAAAUAAAAAAACUGAUUCAAUUUUUUUUAAAAAAAAUUAAUAAGUUUUAUAAAUAAAUAUUAUUUUCAGGGAAAAGAAUUGUAAAAUUUUUCAUAUUUUAAAAAAAUGAGUAAAAUUUUAUAAAAUAUAGAUUCAAAAAAAUAAACUUUAUUUUUAAAAGAAAAAAAUAGAAUUUUUAAAUUUUUUUAAAAUCAGUAUGGUUUCAUAAAACUUUAAAUUUUUUUGAAUCUAUAUUUUAUGAAACUUUACUCAUUUUAUGGGAAAAACUAAAGUUUCUAAUAUUUUUACUAAAAAUAAUAAUUAUUUUUAAAAAUAUUUAAAAUAAUCAUUUUUAAUUAGUUUAAUAGGGUAAUUUGAAAAAUUAAAAGUUCAAUGGUGUAAUCAGUAAAACGUGUCAACUAUAGUGGGUAAUUCAUUAGUUUUGUCGAUAAAAAAUUAACGUCUGUUUAUUUUUUUUAACGAAAUGACUCAAUUUCAAAAUAAUAAUUAGUUUAGUGGGGUAAUUUGAAAAAUUAAAAGUUCAAUUUUGUAAUCGGUAAAAUCUGUCAACUACAGUAGGUAUUUCAUUAGUUUUGCCAUUAACUUUAGUAUAACUACUAUUAGUUGAACAGUAGAUUAAAUUUACAUGUCUGCCCAAGUGUUCAUUGAUAUUUUGUGAAGUGUUAGACUGCUAGUGAAUCCAAUGGGUUUUUACAUUAGUUGGGUUUCAGUGCAAAACUUAACUUAUUGCAAGGAGUUUCAACUUGCAUCAUAGUUGGGAAAUGACUCAUAGUCAUUGUUCACUGUUGAGGGUUGAAUAUAUCAACUCAUUACUCAUCGCAUAAUCAUCACUUGUGAUUUAUGAUUCGACAUAUGAGAUAGUUUACUCGGUGCUUCAUUUGAUUAGAUUAUUAUCAGUUUUAUACAUCCCUUUAAAUUUGCUAGCUUUGUCGAGGUUUAAAUAUGCGUAGGUGUACACAUUGGCCAAAAGUAGAGGUAUUGGUAUUCCAAAAUUGGAGUACUCUGAAUCUGUAGAUAAUAUUAAUUUCUGCUGACUUGAUGUAUUUUUUGGGGGUAAUAUAUGCAAGUAUGCAAUUGAAAUGAUUUUAUUGACCUUUUGUUUUGUUAAAUAGUUUAAUUGCUUGAGAUGUUUUUUUGGUUUAGGCAUGGUUGGGUAGUGCAUUUUAAGUGUUUGAUAAACUGAGUCCGAGAAGAUAUUUAUGGACAGGUAUGCAACAUAACUAGUCAUAGUCAUGACUACAAGUAAGAAAUUUAUGUAAAAAACAAAUAUAUGUCAUUUGUUUGCCUUUGUUUCCAAUAACAGUACUAUGCUUUGUUGUGGUGCUCAAAGUUCAUGAAUCAUAUUUCUUAAUUAUUUGUAAGAGUAUGAAUUUUUUCCUUAUAUAUCAUCAGACAUGUACUUCAAUGUUGAAAGCACAAUUAAACAUGUGCUAUGAACAGUGUUCUAAAAAUCCCCGCCUAGGCGCUAGGCCCCCCUUGGCUUCCCGCCUAGGCACUAGGCCUCCCUGGCGCCCCGCCUAGGCACAAGGUGGAAAAAAAUCUCUCCAGGAAAUUAGGCGGGGCCUAGGCAGGAUCUAGGCGGAGAAGUUUUUUUUUUUAAUAACUACCCAAACCAGAUUUUGAUAUAUUUAUUUUUCUAAUGAUUUUCAUAUUCAUAAUACAGGUCGAAGCAUAUCAAAUCACAACAAGAAGUGAACAAUAUCAAGUCACAAUGGAUAAUUUUAUUAUAAUUAUAAUUUUUUGAAUACCAACUUCAAAUUAUAUACAUGAUGAUACAUUUGUAAUAUUUAGUUUAAUUUAAUAUAAUUCUUAAAUUUAUGUUUAGUUCCUUAAGUUUUAAUAUUGAAUUAAAUUCUUGAAAUUUUAAAUUUUAUUAUUUAAUAACAAUCUUGUUUAUGAAUAAAACUAAUACGUUAAAAAUAUGUUUGAAUUUUGAACAAUUGUAUGUUUGUAUUUGAACUUUGACAUUAGCAAUAUGGAUAUUUAUUUGAACUUUAAGUAAAGACCUUUAUUAUAGAUUAUUUUGCUUUAUAUUAUUGUUUUGUUUGGAUAAAUGUAAGAUAAAAUAUUAAAAUUGGGUUAAAAUAAAAAAUUCCGCCUAGGCCCACUAGGCGCUAGGCCCCCCUCAGCCGCCCGCUUCCCGCCUAGCGCCUUUUAGAACAUUGGCUAUGAAAGAAUUUGUCUCCUUAAAAGAUUAUGCAUUUUGUUGUCUUUACUUAAUUUUGAUGAAUUUGCUUUAGCAAUUUUUCGAAAUCACUUAGUGCAUCCCUACCAACCUCAAUUGGUUCAAAUUCUCAGUGGGGACUUCCCGAAUGAAUUAUUGGCCAUGGUAAAGGGUGAAAAUCCCGAUACUCCUAUUGUCAUUGAGUAGGACCAUUUAUCUAUUUUAGACUAUGUUUGGUUAAUUUCAUAUUUGCUCAACUCUCACGUUUUUAAUGAAUUAAGUUUUAGUUUUGAGAUUAAUGAAUUGCUUUACGUUAGUCAAUUUCUUGAUAUUGAUUGUGUUUUGUUUGCUACAAUUUAGUACAUGUAGUCAAAAUUUCAUUGUUUUACCUCCAAAAUUUCACAGUAGUAUGCAAAAAAAAAAAUGACAGAAUUUCCUUCAUUCUCAUGUGAAGUUAUAAAGUAUACGGUGAAGACACAUUAGAUUAGCUAAGGAUAUUAUAAUUCAUGCAGCUCUUUUGGACAUAACCUGCAUAAGUUUUGUUCAUUUGUUUCCCUAAUACAGAUUCUCAUCUAUUAUUAUUUUAUGUUGUAUAUGUGCAGGAGUUAAUUGAAUGGUGGAGGCUCUCUUCUGCUGCAAGUUAAUCCAAUCAAUAGGUGCGAAAAUUUUAACAUUAGUAAGAUACACAUGCCAGUUUGUUUUUCAAGUUUCAUAAAUGCAUAAGGAUCAUUAUAUGUAAUUAAAUUAGAUAAAUAUAUACCAAAUAUUAUAAAAAUACUAUAACUAUAAAUAGAAAAUUCUAAAGAAAAAUUUGAAAUAAAUAAUUUCAAACUAACCUGAAUAAAAAAAUCAGUUCUCAAUUACAAAUUUUGGGAUCUCACUGUUCAUGGUAACCGUAAAUUAAUUCAUUUAACAAUAGACAAUAUGAUUAUUAUAACUAUAAUCUAACUAAUAAAUAGGGCUAAUUACAAAUUUAUUAUUUUAAAAAUUAAACAAAUCACGUCAAUGUUAUUUGUUGCGGAUACUUCUGCUUCUCCCAAAACUAUUAUCAUAAUGGCCAAUAAGUUAAUAAGAUGUUUGUCAUAAUAAGUUGUAACAACUUUUCAAAACCAACUUUUUAAUUUAUUGAAUGAAAACAGAUGGUAUUUUGGAAAAUUGAAUUUUUCAUGCAAUAUGGUGAAUUAGAAGUUCGGAAGUUGAUUUUAGAAACAUCUUUUUAAUAACUUAUAGUUUAUACCUCCUUUGCGCAUUAACACUCUGUUUCUAGUUUUAAAAUGAACAGAAAAGAAAAGAAAUGGAUGGAAAAUUUAAGUUUUCUUUCUAAUUCCUAUGUUUCUUAGUUUUUUAAUAAACGAAAAAAAA